UACGAAGGGGGCUAGCGUUGCUCGGAAUCACUGGGCGUAAAGGGUGCGUAGGCGGCGCGGUAAGUCGGGUGUGAAAUCUCGGAGCUUAACUCCGAGACUGCAUUCGAUACUGCCGUGCUUGAGGACUGGAGAGGAGACUGGAAUUUACGGUGUAGCGGUGAAAUGCGUAGAUAUCGUAAGGAAGACCAGUGGCGAAGGCGGGUCUCUGGACAGUUCCUGACGCUGAGGCACGAAGGUCAGGGGAGCAAACGGG
rnacentral:rRNA from 1 species